rnacentral:rRNA from 1 species
GACGAACGCUGGCGGCGUGCUUAACACAUGCAAGUCGAACGGAAAGGCCCUGCUUUUGUGGGGUGCUCGAGUGGCGAACGGGUGAGUAACACGUGAGUAACCUGCCCUUGACUUUGGGAUAACUUCAGGAAACUGGGGCUAAUACCGGAUAGGAGCUCCUGCUGCAUGGUGGGGGUUGGAAAGUUUCGGCGGUUGGGGAUGGACUCGCGGCUUAUCAGCUUGUUGGUGGGGUAGUGGCUUACCAAGGCUUUGACGGGUAGCCGGCCUGAGAGGGUGACCGGCCACAUUGGGACUGAGAUACGGCCCAGACUCCUACGUGAGGCAGCAGUGGGGAGUAUUGCGCAAUGGGCGGACGCCUGAUGCAGCAACGCCGCGUGCGGGAUGACGGCCUUCGGGUUGUAAACCGCUUUCGCCUGUGACGAAGCGUGAGUGACGGUAAUGGGUAAAGAAGCACCGGCUAACUACGUG